UCCAACCUCAAGAUUCCGCUUCAGGAGGUCCAGGGUGGUGAUGCCCAUCUGCUACCACACUUGGUAACAUCCAGAGAAGCUCCAUGUGUCCAAAUGUCCUAGCUGCGGACACUCGGUUGGCCGCUUGGCUGGCGAACACUUACAUCUUGGAGCUUCCAGUGCAGCCCCACCUGGAUCCCACCCCUCUAAUCUGAAGACCCCAGUAAUGUCUAAGGAGAGAAAUAAAGACAACUUUUUUUUUUUUAAUCCCUAUCCCAACUGGAAUGGACUGGGAGAAGGAAACCUUGACCUUUGCUGCUCCGUCAGCCGUUGGGAGGCCCCAUGCCCAGGACUGGGAGCAUCGGGGCAGGGCAGUUCCCAAGAACAGAGUGACCCAUUUGGCCGAGCCAGGUCAAGCCAAGAGUGAACGUCUUAAGAAAUUUGAGCACUUCAUGCCCUUCCAGUACUGCUCAGGUUCCAGCCUAGCCCAACUGACUUCCGCUGCUGCUGCUCUGGGCUCUGACUGUCCCACUGUUGUUACCACCGAAGUACUGGGCUUGAACUCGAGUUAAGAAGGCCACACGUGGAGACAGAGGGAAGGCAAGAAGGUGACGAGAAGACAGGAGGGUUGAAUUUGAACAGGGAAAAGAUCAAAAGUAAAGCCAGAAUCCUACUUGCUCUUUUUUCCAUUCUCCUUUAUUCCAUAAACACCUAGUUACAAGUUGCACAAAUCAAAAAAUAAAGGCAGAGAAGGGUGUAGGGAAGGUUUCUGUGAUGUGCAGGGAGUGGGAAGGGAGAAAGGGUUGGGAGCCAGUCCUCUCCCUCCACACACAGCCCUGGAUAAGGGCUAUGGCCUCUGCAGUGGGGGAUCUGAGGAGGAGGUGGGCAAAGAUCCAGGGCAGCUGAGGGAUAGAGGAAGCCCCUAAACCCAGAGCUCACCCCAAAAGCCCCUUCGAUGCAUGGCGAGGGUAGAAAGGGGAAGGUGAGGAGGCUCAAAGAUGGAGCAGCAAAAUGAAAAAUCAAGUUAGCAGAUACAGGAGAAGUGGACUCGUCAUGGUAGGGGAUUAAAGAAGGAAAAAGUAGGUAAAGGGGGCAGUGAAAGGUUCUCCCUGAGACCCCCAGGGAGAGGUGGGGGGCCAGCUUGCCUGUUAAUUUAAUAUUAAAUUGGGAGUGGGAGCUGGAGAGGAAAAAGUUAUUUGGGGGAUGAUUUCUCAGCCUCUCAGCCUGUACCUGGAAGGGAAAGAGAGAAGAGCGAGUCAAAAGACAAAACGUAAAGGCCAGGAGUUGGGUUUACUCUCCCAUUCCAGUGGCAGCAUUCUUCUCUUCACACCAACUAAAACUUACACCAUCAAAGGCAGUAAUUGCUGGGCACCUGGACUCCUUCUGCCUCAUGACAAAGGAAUGUGCACAGGUACGUGCCUCAACCCCCCCCCUCCGUGCUUGACACCUUACAAUUCCUCCCUCUCAAUACUUACAAGAGAGGCUGAGGGCCUAGGGCCCUCACCAGUCAUAGCGGCGGGACUGUCGGGAGGGGGAGUCCUCAGGUCCCUGUAUAGCCAGGCGGGGAGGCCCCUCAGCCCUUCGUCCCCCACCCCCUGAAGCCUCAUGCCGUCGAAAUUCCAAAGGGCGCUGCUGCCGGAAUCGGGAUGUCUCCCUCCGCCAUUCAUCAUCAAAUGCUGCAGCCUCACCUGAAGAGCACAGAGACCAGACGUGACAUUUAAAUAUACAGGCUGGCUUCUGGAAGCUGAGGCAAGCGUGAGCCACAGCCUUCUCAGCUCGCAGGAACAGGACCAGUGGCUACCGGCCCAGGAGCCAGAAGGGUGAUGAGAAGAAAAGAAGGCUCACUCUCAUCCAGGUUGAUAUAAUCCUGCCGCUCCUCCUGGUCCCCUGUGCGGUGGUUUCGGGAGCGCUGGAGGAUGUGAGCCCGGUCUCGGAUGUGAUGCCCGAUGGACAUCUGCUCUAGCCCACUGUCCGAGUCCCGUACGGUCCUGCGAGUCUCCCGGAUCUGGGAGGAGGCAGAACACAGCACACAGCUGUCCCUUCCAAAGCCUGGCUACACCAAGCCGGGAUAGACAAACCACCCCCAACCCAAUGAUGAAAAAAGAAGCCAGGGUUUCUGUGCGUGUCAUUCAACCCUGCGUUCUCUGGGAUAUCAGAAGCCCUUCAACUCACCCCGCCUGGUGCCGAGCGCAUCUCUGACGUCUCCUGGUAGACCUUGGGGGCACCAUCACCCGUAUUGGAGUAGGAGAUGACAGUGGAGGAUGAAAAGGUCUGGCAAUUGCCUCCAGCUGUCAUGUGUUCCUGUGGAGGAAAACACACAGCAGGACUGAACGGUCCCUCUGGCGAAGGGAUCCCACAUUUCAGCUGCCUGUUCCUGUCUGUAUCUUUCUUACAAAACAUGAGAAAUGAGAAAACAUCAGGACUCAUCAGUACCCCCCAAAUUCCUCUGAGUCCAACAAUAAACAAGAAAGACCUUUA